GUAAUUCAGUGUUGUCGUAGCUCUCCUGUUGUUGCGAUUCCUGCUUCACAUUUUGUUCAUUUGUGUGGACGAUUAUCUGUUUUUGCUCUGCGAGAGGUGGGUCUGAGUCCUGCCUCAAAGAAAGCCCCAAAUCCUGCUUUUGAUUUUGAGCGUCUUCUUUUUCUUCAGGCAACGGCAAACUUGUAGCUCCUGCAGCUUCCUCUUCAGGCUCUCGUUCUCUCUCUGUGUUCUGGCAGUUUUCUCCUGGUACUCUGACACCGUCUCCUUCACCACCUCCAGAACCUCCUGCACCGCUUCAGUCAGGAGCUUAGCCACACGAGCGUUUAGACGUUCAAGCUUAGACAUCCUGAAACUAGAAAAGACUCAAGGUAUAUCUUCUCCUGGAGCUCCUGCAGCUUUCUCUUCAGACUCUGGUUCUCUCUCUGUGUUCUGGCAGUUUUCUCCUGGUACUCUGACACCGUCUCCUUCACCACCUCCAGAACCUCCUGCACCGCUUCACACAGCAGCUUCUCCACUCGGGCAUUCAGACAGUCAAUGUCGGACAUCUUUAUUGGCUGAUCCUUGGGACCGAAAAGAAGGAACAGAUCAGUGAAUGCGUCACGUGAUCCUAUAACGUAUAAUGUUAACCAUGUAUUAAUAAAAGAAAAAG